CUACACAUGCAAGUCGAGCGGAAACGAAGAGGUGCUUGCUCCUCUGGUGACGAGCGGCGGACGGGUGAGUAAUGCUUGGGAAUAUGCCUUAUGGUGGGGGACAACAGUUGGAAACGACUGCUAAUACCGCAUGAUGUCUACGGACCAAAGUGGGGGACCUUCGGGCCUCACGCCAUAAGAUUAGCCCAAGUGGGAUUAGCUAGUUGGUGAGGUAAUGGCUCACCAAGGCGACGAUCCCUAGCUGGUUUGAGAGGAUGAUCAGCCACACUGGGACUGAGACACGGCCCAGACUCCUACGGGAGGCAGCAGUGGGGAAUAUUGCACAAUGGGCGCAAGCCUGAUGCAGCCAUGCCGCGUGUGUGAAGAAGGCCUUCGGGUUGUAAAGCACUUUCAGUAAGGAGGAAAGGUUAAGUGUUAAUAGCACUUAGCUGUGACGUUACUUACAGAAGAAGCACCGGCUAACUCCGUGCCAGCAGCCGCGGUAAUACGGAGGGUGCGAGCGUUAAUCGGAAUUACUGGGCGUAAAGCGUACGCAGGCGGUUUGUUAAGCGAGAUGUGAAAGCCCCGGGCUCAACCUGGGAACUGCAUUUCGAACUGGCAAACUAGAGUGUGAUAGAGGGUGGUAGAAUUUCAGGUGUAGCGGUGAAAUGCGUAGAGAUCUGAAGGAAUACCGAUGGCGAAGGCAGCCACCUGGGUCAACACUGACGCUCAUGUACGAAAGCGUGGGGAGCAGACAGGAU
rnacentral:rRNA from 1 species